GUUCCUUGGAAAAGGACAGCUGAGAGGGUGACACUCCCGUCCGCCUGGUAGAGUGAGUCUUUGUCAACGAGUCGAGUUGUUUGGGAUUGCAGCUCUAAUUUGGUGGUAAAUUCCAUCUAAAGCUAAAUAUUGGUGGGAGACCGAUAGCGUACAAGUACCGUGAGGGAAAGAUGCAAAGAACUUUGAAAAGAGAGUUAAAGAGUACCUGAAAUUGCUGAAACGGAAGCGAAGGAAACCAGUGUUUGUUGGUUCAUAUUUCCCUUGUCACUUGUGAUGUGGGCGCUGUGAGCUUGCGUGGGUUUGCUUUGGUUGAUUCCUUUGGAAGAGCGCAGUCAGAGUUGAUGUCU
rnacentral:rRNA from 1 species